CGGUCCAGACUCCUACGGGGUGGAAGCAUCUUCGCAUGGGCGAAGCCUGACGGAGCAACGCCGCGUGAGUGAUGAAGGUCUUCGGAUCGUAAAACUCUGUUGUUAGGGAAGAACAAAUUUGUUAGUAACUGAACAAGUCUUGACGGUACCUAACCAGAAAGCCACGGCUAACUACGUGCCAGCAGCCGCGGUAA
rnacentral:rRNA from 1 species